UUUAAUGAGAGUUUGAUCCUGGCUCAGGACGAACGCUGGCGGCGUGCCUAAUACAUGCAAGUAGAACGCUGAAGAGAGGAGCUUGCUCUUCUUGGAUGAGUUGCGAACGGGUGAGUAACGCGUAGGUAACCUGCCUUGUAGCGGGGGAUAACUAUUGGAAACGAUAGCUAAUACCGCAUAACAAUGGAUGACCCAUGUCAUUUAUUUGAAAGGGGCAAAUGCUCCACUACAAGAUGGACCUGCGUUGUAUUAGCUAGUAGGUGAGGUAACGGCUCACCUAGGCGACGAUACAUAGCCGACCUGAGAGGGUGAUCGGCCACACUGGGACUGAGACACGGCCCAGACUCCUACGGGAGGCAGCAGUAGGGAAUCUUCGGCAAUGGGGGCAACCCUGACCGAGCAACGCCGCGUGAGUGAAGAAGGUUUUCGGAUCGUAAAGCUCUGUUGUAAGUCAAGAACGAGUGUGAGAGUGGAAAGUUCACACUGUGACGGUAGCUUACCAGAAAGGGACGGCUAACUACGUGCCAGCAGCCGCGGUAAUACGUAGGUCCCGAGCGUUGUCCGGAUUUAUUGGGCGUAAAGCGAGCGCAGGCGGUUUGAUAAGUCUGAAGUUAAAGGCUGUGGCUCAACCAUAGUUCGCUUUGGAAACUGUCAAACUUGAGUGCAGAAGGGGAGAGUGGAAUUCCAUGUGUAGCGGUGAAAUGCGUAGAUAUAUGGAGGAACACCGGUGGCGAAAGCGGCUCUCUGGUCUGUAACUGACGCUGAGGCUCGAAAGCGUGGGGAGCGAACAGGAUUAGAUACCCUGGUAGUCCACGCCGUAAACG
rnacentral:rRNA from 1 species